rnacentral:rRNA from 1 species
AUUGAACGCUGGCGGCAUGCCUUACACAUGCAAGUCGAACGGCAGCAUGGAGAGCUUGCUCUCUGAUGGCGAGUGGCGAACGGGUGAGUAAUGCAUCGGAACGUACCGUGUAAUGGGGGAUAACGUAGCGAAAGUUACACUAAUACCGCAUACGACCUGAGGGUGAAAGCAGGGGAUCGCAAGACCUUGCGUUAUACGAGCGGCCGAUGUCAGAUUAGCUAGUUGGUGAGGUAAUGGCUCACCAAGGCGACGAUCUGUAGCGGGUCUGAGAGGAUGAUCCGCCACACUGGGACUGAGACACGGCCCAGACUCCUACGGGAGGCAGCAGUGGGGAAUUUUGGACAAUGGGGGCAACCCUGAUCCAGCCAUGCCGCGUGAGUGAAGAAGGCCUUCGGGUUGUAAAGCUCUUUCGGCCGGGAAGAAAUCGCACAGGCUAAUACUCUGUGUGGAUGACGGUACCGGCAUAAGAAGCACCGGCUAACUACGUGCCAGCAGCCGCCGUAA